CUGGAGUGAGCUCUGCUAUAUCUCUUACACACAGCGAACGCGUUUGAGUACCUAAGCGAAGGCUACAUUUUAGUCAAUGGGAUAGGCUGAUACUGCUGUGGAGGCAAUAGAACUGUGGCAAUAGAACCGGGCAUGGAAAUUUGUAAGGCGCUGAAGACUGAGAAUUAAGCAGGUGCAAAACCAAACGUUUCCAAGCUUGUUUUAAAUGACAGAGACUUUUAUAUUUGUUUUUUUAUGGAAAGGGGAGGUCUAUGGACUCUACUGUCUUGAUAAAUCAGGCGCCGAUGACGAAUGCCAACUGUGCCCCUCUCCACAUCUUCUUUUGGCAACGCUGGUGUAGGACCACAUAAUGUCAGCCACAACAUCAGCGGUUCGUUUACUGGCUCAUCUUCCAAUGCAGAUUAUACAUUUGAAGAGAGUUAGGCUGAGAACUCAUUUGAACAUCAAAAACCAAAUAUCGGCUUUGAACCUUUGGAUUUGAGAGUCUAUAUGCAAAUUAAAGAUCCGCCCGGCGGGGAUGCGUGCUCCAGGCAGCAAUUCAAUGGCACAAUCAUAGGGCCGGUGAGGAGUUGCUCCGCUUCCUUUUUAUCGAAGACAUCCCGAAAACUACCAUACUUGGCGGGCAAAGUUAUCUCCCCAGGGGAAGACGUUCCUGCCAACACCUGUGGCUCCUCUUCAGGCUGGCAAUGUUGAUGGCAGUACUUGGAGGUAAAAACCACCACAGCUUCAUCCCAAAAGAUUGUGGGGUUGUGCUUAACCAGCCAAGGCAUACCCAACACCACCGGGAAACGCGGUAAAGAAGCCACAUAGAAUGACAGGUCUUCCUGAUGCCCAGGGACCUUCACUUCCACAGACUCAGUCACUUUAGUCACCCUCCCAGACUUCAGAGGCCGGGCAUCUAUAGUUUCCACUGCCAACGGCUGGCUCAAUUCUCUUGUGGGAAUAGCGUGGUGUAGCGCCAACUCUCGAUCUAUGAAACAAGAGAAUGCUCCGCUGUCGAUCAUGGCCUUGGCCGAGAAACUCUCGCCUGAGGAUAGUGUGAUGCGAAUGGGCAACAGAAGGGCCCCUUGUGAGGGAAGUGGUCGUAAUGGAGGCUCAGUAUCUGUAGCACCCCCCAACUCUGUAGCCUCUACGAGAGCUGGGAUGUGAAGUUUUCCGGCGGCUGGGAUCUUCCGGUUUUGGCUGCACAAUUUCUGGCUAGGUGUCCAGACUUUCCGCAAUAAAGACACAGUCCUUCCCUCCGGCAUCUUUCCCUCUCCUCCUCUGUCAACCGCGGUCUAGCCCCCCCUAUCUGCAUGGGCUCCUCUCCCGAGACAGUAGGGAUGCCAGGAUUGGGCACGGGGCACGCCCAGGGCAGCGGAGCAGCCACCUAACUCCGUGAAGGCUCCAUUUUUCGCUCCAACUUUCUUCCUUCUAAGCGGCUGUCUAUCUGUAAACUCAGUUGAAUCAAACCCCUCAGUGAGUCGGGGUGUGUGGAGCGUGCCAGUUCAUCCAACACUUCUGGACUCAGUCCAUUUCUGUAGAAGUACAUCAAGGCUGGGUCAUUGUACUCCGUCUUCUGAGAUAAAACGUGAAAAGCAUUUGUGUAUUACCCUACAGACCCCUUUCCCUGUCUCAGGUCCCUAACUGGCGGGCAACCGUCUCUUUCCUCUGGGGGUCUCGGAACAUGUCCCCCAUCGCAUUCUUGAAAGCGGCAAACUGGCGCAAUAUCUGGUCGUUGCGAAUCAAAUACAGGGUGGCCCAUUUUGCCGCUUCCCCUUCCAAUAAACUGAUAAUGAACGCCACCUUCGCG